rnacentral:rRNA from 1 species
UACGUAGGGUGCAAGCGUUGUCCGGAAUUAUUGGGCGUAAAGAGCUCGUAGGCGGUCCGAUAAGUCGGCUGUGAAAGUCAGGGGCUCAACCCUUGAAAGCCGGCCGAUACUGUCGGACUAGAGUCCGGAAGAGGCAAGUGGAAUUCCCGGUGUAGCGGUGAAAUGCGCAGAUAUCGGGAGGAACACCAAUGGCGAAGGCAGCUUGCUGGGACGGUACUGACGCUGAGGCGCGAAAGCGUGGGGAGCAAACAGG